GUAGUCUCGCACAGAUGCAUAUCAAUAAGCGGAGGAAAAGAAACUAACAAGGAUUCCCCUAGUAACGGCGAGUGAAGCGGGAAGAGCUCAAAUUUGAAAUCUUAAAGGGUUUCCCUUUACGAAUUGUAGUUUAAAGAAGUGUUUUCUGUUGAGGUUUUGGUAAAAGUUCUUUGGAAUAGGACAUCAUAGAGGGUGAGAAUCCCGUAUUUGACCUUUACUUUCAACUUUGUGAUACACUUUCAAAGAGUCGGAUUGUUUGGGAAUGCAGUCCAAAAUGGGUGGUAAAUUUCAUCUAAAGCUAAAUAUUGGCGAGAGACCGAUAGCGAACAAGUACCGUGAGGGAAAGAUGAAAAGAACUUUGAAAAGAGAGUUAAACAGUACGUGAAAUUGUCAAAAGGGAAGCGUUUGACACCAGUGUUGUUUUUCUGAAAAUCAAUUAAAGAACUGUUUAUGCUAAGCUUGUUUAGACUUUAUCAGCUAUCUGUUUAGUUUUGAGCUUUUCUUUAAUGCACUUUUCAGUUAACAAGUCAACAUCAAUUUCUUUUGCUGUAAAAAAGCUUGAGGAAGGUGGCUUGAGAUUCGUCUUAAGUGUUUAUAGCCUCUUGCCUAUGCAGUCGGAGAGAUUGAGGUCUGCAGCGUAGAUCCUUCGGGGCUAAAUGCAUUUGUGCUAAGUUAUAGCAUUUUAUAGACAACUUGUUGACUAUGAUUUGUCUUGUAGCUUACCCGCUUAUGUUAUUUUACCUACGCUUAGGAUGUUGACGCAUGAGAUAUACGC
rnacentral:rRNA from 1 species